GCCUCUGUAGCUCAGUUGGUUAGAGCACGAGUUUCGUAAACUCGGGGUCGGGAGUUCGAAUCUCCCCAGAGGCU
rnacentral:tRNA from 1 species